GAGAGCAAAACUGCCAUCGAUGCAGGAAGUCACUCAUCGACAUCAUUGCUGUAUGUUUCUUCCUCCGUUAGCUCCGGUCCGUGCUUCGCAGGCUCACCAUUCGCCCAGCGGUAGCCGUCUCGGAUCCGACUCCUUUACACGAUCGGCUUUGUCAUUGUCGUAGCUUCCAAUCUCGCUGUUACUAGUGACCAGAAUAUAGAAAAACGAGUUUUAGAAGAUAAAGAUCACUUGGCUUCUCAGUCUUGAAGCGCUUAUGUGGACAGCAAAUCAUCAAUUUGUUCAUUGUGAUUGUGAUUGAAUAUCCUGCAGCUGUAUUAUUUAUUGCUGGUACAGGCCUGUAUGCCCAUCAUAAUGAUGAAAAGUGAGCAAUUGUAAAAGGGUCAUUCACCCCCCUCUAGCUGGCCGCCAGCGAUCCAACAAUUGAUAUCAGAGUCAGGUCACUUCAGGAGGACUAACCGUCGAAGGAAGCACACGAGAUGACCGGAUCAAGCAUCUACCUACCAAAGUUCGAGGUGGAAUUCACCAACUGGAAGAAAAAGAUAGAGGUUCAGAACAAAGUAUUAGUUUUGAGAGAAAUAAUAACAACAGACCAGCUAUUGGAGGGGCCGUUCAAGUUGUUUGAUACUGAAAAUAAAACUGUAACUGAGUCAACCUUCUGUGGCAAUUGGGUACUCAUGUACUUGGGUUACACUUCAUCACCUGAUGCUGGUCCAAGACAAGUUAAAAAAUGGCUGACGUUAUGAAAAUACUAGCUCUCACUUCCUUUCGUGCUCCCAAGAAUUUGAUCAUAGGAAUAACAGGUCCUGAAUCUGCUAUAAGACAGACUACAAGGAGGUUCCGCGUAUACCACAAGGGAUGCCAUGCCUUCACAAUUCGGGUACCUACUAGAUUCAAUUAUGGAGAUGGUUUAGAUUCAUUGGAGCAGAAUAUGAUCCACAACAAUUAGCUGAGGCCAUAAAGAUGGAGGUAAACACGAGUUCGAGAUGAACAAACAACUAUCUUUUGUAAGAACCUUUGGGCUCCCAUUUAGUGUGUAUGUUUCAGUCGUCCCAGAAAGUAUGAUCAAAUUUAAAUUGCAUUGAUAGGGAGGCCCAAUCAGAUUUGGUCAGGAAUGUCCAUCAGAUUCAUGUUGGAAUUUACAUUUUGUUAUUUACUGGCAUUCUAGGCAACUAGGGCUCAAUUCCCACGCAGCACACUCGACGACUGUGAGCUCAAAUUGCUUGUGACACUGAGUCAUCUAUUGUGGUUCAUCUGUACUUUUU